GUCCUCUACGAAGGACAUGUGAUAAAAUUGGAUGAUUCAUAAAAGAUUAGUAUGGCAGCUUCACAAAGAUGACACGCAUAAAACGAAAAAUUGUCCAAAUUUGU